CAGGAUACUGUGUCGAGGCUUGGUAACUCCACCACCGUUGGCGGAAUACGACGGCCAAUGGGGUACGAGUUUCCUUCUCUCGGCGCGAAAGGCGGCUCAUGUUACAUAUUUA
rnacentral:pre_miRNA from 1 species